rnacentral:rRNA from 1 species
AUAUUGUGCAAUGGAGGGAACUCUGACGCAGCGACGCCGCGUGAGCGAUGCAGGUUUUCGGAUCGUAAAGCUCUGUCCUUGGUGACGAAGGUCUUCGGACUUGACGGUACCUAGGGUGGAAGCCCCGGCUUACUACGUGCCAGCAGCCGCGGUAAUACGUAGGGGGCAAGCGUUGUCCGGAAUUAUUGGGCGUAAAGGGUGCGUAGGCGGCCUUUUAAGUCAGGUGUGAAAGCCCCCGGCUUAACCGUGGGAGUGCAUUUGAAACUGGAAGGCUUGAGUAUCGGAGAGGGUAGUGGAAUUCCCAGUGUAGCGGUGGAAUGCGUAGAUAUUGGGAGGAACACCAGUGGCGAAGGCGACUACCCGGACGAAAACUGACGCUGAGGCACGAAAGCUAGGGGAGCAAAC